rnacentral:tRNA from 1 species
UAUUAGGGUGGCAGAGCCAGGAAAUUGCGUAAGAUUUAAAACCUUGUCCCCAGAGGUUCAAAUCCUCUCCCUAAUAG